rnacentral:rRNA from 1 species
CCUACGGGCGGCAGCAGUGAGGAAUAUUGGUCAAUGGGCGCGAGCCUGAACCAGCCAAGUAGCGUGAAGGAUGACUGCCCUACGGGUUGUAAACUUCUUUUAUAAAGGAAUAAAGUGAGGCACGUGUGCCUUUUUGUAUGUACUUUAUGAAUAAGGAUCGGCUAACUCAGUGCCAGCAGCCGCGGCAAUACGGAGGAUCCGAGCGUUAUCCGGAUUUAUUGGGGUUAAAGGGAGCGUAGAUGGGUUGUUAAGUCAGUUGUGAAAGUUUGCGGCUCAACCGUAAAAUUGCAAUUGAUACUGGCAGCCUUGAGUACAGUUGGGGUAGGCGGAAUUCGUGGUGUAGCGGUGAAAUGCUUAGAUAUCACGAAGAACUCCGAGUGCGAAGGCAGCUUACGAAACUGCCACUGACAUUGAUGCUCGAAAGUGUGGGUAUCAAACAGGAUUAGAUACCGUGUAGUC